CCUACGGGUGGCAGCAGUGGGGAAUAUUGGACAAUGGGGGCAACCCUGAUCCAGCCAUGCCGCGUGUGUGAAGAAGGCCCUCGGGUUGUAAAGCACUUUCAGUGAGGAAGAACGCCUGGUGGUUAAUACCCAUCAGGAAAGACAUCACUCACAGAAGAAGCACCGGCUAACUCCGUGCCAGCAGCCGCGGUAAUACGGAGGGUGCGAGCGUUAAUCGGAAUUACUGGGCGUAAAGCGCGCGUAGGUGGCUUGAUAAGCCGGUUGUGAAAGCCCCGGGCUCAACCUGGGAACGGCAUCCGGAACUGUCAAGCUAGAGUGCAGGAGAGGAAGGUAGAAUUCCCGGUGUAGCGGUGAAAUGCGUAGAGAUCGGGAGGAAUAACAGUGGCGAAGGCGGCCUUCUGGACUGACACUGACACUGAGGUGCGAAAGCGUGGGUAGCAAACAGGAUUAGAUACCCUGGUAGUC
rnacentral:rRNA from 1 species